GGUGGGAGGAAAUCAGUCUUUGUUUCAGCCGUAAAAGCAGUCAGACUAUAAUAAAGAUUAAAAAUAAAAACUAUAUAAAUCGUUUAGACGCAUAAGCUUCCCCAUCCGGAAUCUGUACAUAAAAAGCUCAGGGUUCUCGCUCGGCCCAGAAUCCUGCGAUGCAACCCCUCAGCUCUCCCUGUAAACAGCAAGCGUUACUGAUCGCUUACCAGUUGCAGCUUACAACAUAAUAAGUCCAUACACUCUACAGGUCAGUUUGAGGGUCAUAAGUUUACUCGGUCAGUAAGCAGUUAAAAUAAUACUCAACCUGUUCGAAGCGCCGCGCGGGAGGAGACACAAGGGGGGAGAUCUCGCUUUCUCUCAAUCAUCUGACCCCUCAACACAAAAACUGUGUCUUUCUCUACAACCCUCGCGCUAUCAUGCUUAGUAUUUAUAAAUAGCGGACACCCUGUCACAAAAAAAAAAAAAUCGUCAGGACGUUGUAUUUCACGCCUUUACGCAUCCUAAAAAUCCCCAUCACGGGGACAAACACAAUGCCUGUAUUAUCAAUAAUGUAUAUAUAAGGCCCCCUUCCCACCUAACUGAAUGCAUGCACGGUGACUCCUCCGAAAUAUGUCACAAGCGUCUUCUGCUUCGGUCCUCACUAACGCUCACAUCCAUGCCGCGGGUCAGAACGCAAGCCCCAACCUACAACAUGGGAUACGCUUCUUUGGUAAGUUCUAAUGAAUAUAUUCUAACGAUUUUUAAGUUAUAUGUUGAAUAUACGGUGGGGGAAUCCUCUCUAUGACGCUACUGAUCAUGUGAUACCGUAGUAAUCUUCCUUGGGGAAUCCCCCCUUACGCUUUUCGGCGGUGUAACAAUAUAUGUUUAAUUAUUUUUCAGACCUCACAGGUGUGAAGCAAGAAAAUAUACUUUUAACACCGUUGAACUACGGGUUUUUAAAUGGGAACGUUCUAUAAGAAGAACUUGAAGUAAAGCACACCUCCCUCAGUCCGGGGCAUUUCUACCACAAAAUCCAAGAAUGGAACCCUUCCCAUGAAUACUGCCUCCUCUACAACCCAAUUGACGUAAGCGGUCUAACCCAGACAGAAGGCUACAAAGAGAUGUGCAAUAAGGAAAAGUGUCCCUCUUCAGCACACUGUGACAAAGACAUUUAUGUGUGAAAUGUUUGUCUCCCCUU